UACGGAGGGGGUUAGCGUUGUUCGGAAUGACUGGGCGUAAAGCGCACGUAGGCGGAUCGAUCAGUCAGGGGUGAAAUCCCGCAGCUCAACUGCGGAACUGCCUUUGAUACUGUCGGUCUAGAGUAUGGAAGAGGUGAGUGGAAUUCCGAGUGUAGAGGUGAAAUUCGUAGAUAUUCGGAGGAACACCAGUGGCGAAGGCGGCUCACUGGUCCAUUACUGACGCUGAGGUGCGAAAAGCGUGGGGAGCAAACAGG
rnacentral:rRNA from 1 species